rnacentral:rRNA from 1 species
GAUAAGUUCUCCGCCUGGGGAGUACGGCCGCAAGGUUGAAACUCAAAGGAAUUGACGGGGGCCCGCACAAGCGGCGGAGCAUGCGGAUUAAUUCGAUGCAACGCGAAGAACCUUACCAAGGCUUGACAUACACCAGACCGUCCUGUAAACAGGUCCUCUUCUUUGAAGCUGGUGUACAGGUGGUGCAUGGUUUUCGUCAGCUCGUGUCGUGAGAUG